rnacentral:rRNA from 1 species
GCUCGUAGUUGGAUUUCGGGUGGGUUCUAGCGGUCCGCCUAUGGUGAGUACUGCUAUGGCCUUCCUUUCUGUCGGGGACGGGCUUCUGGGCUUAAUUGUCCGGGACUCGGAGUCGACGUGGUUACUUUGAGUAAAUUAGAGUGUUCAAAGCAGGCUUACGCCCUGAAUACUUUAGCAUGGAAUAACACGAUAGGACUCUGGCCUAUCUUGUUGGUCUGUAGGACUGGAGUAAUGAUUAAGAGGGACAGUCGGGGGCAUUCGUAUUUCAUUGUCAGAGGUGAAAUUCUUGGAUUUAUGAAAGACGAACUACU